GAUGAACGCUGGCGGCGUGCCUAAUACAUGCAAGUCGAGCGAACAGACGAGGAGCUUGCUCCUCUGACGUUAGCGGCGGACGGGUGAGUAACACGUGGAUAACCUACCUAUAAGACUGGGAUAACUUCGGGAAACCGGAGCUAAUACCGGAUAAUAUAUUGAACCGCAUGGUUCAAUAGUGAAAGACGGUUUUGCUGUCACUUAUAGAUGGAUCCGCGCCGCAUUAGCUAGUUGGUAAGGUAACGGCUUACCAAGGCAACGAUGCGUAGCCGACCUGAGAGGGUGAUCGGCCACACUGGAACUGAGACACGGUCCAGACUCCUACGGGAGGCAGCAGUAGGGAAUCUUCCGCAAUGGGCGAAAGCUUGACGGAGCAACGCCGCGUGAGUGAUGAAGGUCUUCGGAUCGUAAAACGCUGUUAUUAGGGAAGAAAAAAUGUGUAAGUAACUAUGCACGUCUUGACGGUACCUAAUCAGAAAGCCACGGCUAACUACGUG
rnacentral:rRNA from 1 species